rnacentral:rRNA from 1 species
CUUGCGGGGAGGGAGCCGUCGAAGGUGGGACUGGCGAUUGGGACGAAGUCGUAACAAGGUAGCCGUACCGGAAGGUGCGGCUGGAUCACCUCCUUUCUAAGGAGCA